CAAUAGCGUAUAUUAAAGUUGUUGCAGUUAAAAAGCUCGUAGUUGAAUUUCGGGUCCCCGCGCUCGGCGCUUCAUUGUGCCGUCGUGGUGUCCCUCCUCGCCGUAAGGCGUCCUUUACUGUGAAAAAAUUAGAGUGUUCAAAGCAGGCAAUCGCUUGAAUACAUUAGCAUGGAAUAAUAAGAUAGGAUCUUGUCUAUUUUGUUGGUUGCGGACAACGAUAAUGAUUAAUAGGGAUAGUUGGGGGUGUCCGUAUUGAGCUGUCAGAGGUGAAAUUCUUGGAUUCGCUCAAGACGAACUACUGCGAAAGCAUUCACCAAGGAUGUUUUCAUUAA
rnacentral:rRNA from 1 species